rnacentral:sRNA from 1 species
AAAUCGAGUGAGCACCUCAACCGGCAGCCU